rnacentral:lncRNA from 1 species
CGUGCUCUUCUCAAGAAAGUUAAAUAAGCAUUUUCACAAGAAUAAAAAAAGAAGAAAAAGUGCUUCAUUUAUCAUCCCUAUAACAGCAGAAAAAUUCGAACAUAAGCCUCCACUCUAAAAAAAAACGUUGCACUCACUCUCGGGACCAAGAAGUCUGUAUGUGACGGUUGCUGCAAGUGUGCCAAUUUGUAUUCAUCCACCAUCCCACAAUUCCAGUAAAAGCUCCAUCUCAAAAAAACAACGUUCAAAGACCAAGGCCCCCCUCCAAAAUUGAAUUUGCCGAGAGAGUCAAUUACCAAGUGUUGCGGCUGUUGCUACUUUCCUCCUAGGAUCAAGUGUCUCAAAAAUUAGGGUGGGGUCCACCCAACCCUAGGGUGCCAUGUGUCUAUUUUGUACUAUUGGGCUCAACAACAAAUACCAAAAAUUGGCCCACAAUGUCAACGUUUGUCUAAAAAUUCUAAACUACUAAAUUAAAAUACAACUAAUUCUAAAACGCUUAUGGAAGAGUCUUAAUUUAUUUUGUCUUCAUCCUAAUGCUCCAAAAUAUAUCUCCAAAAUUUUCCCUGCAAAUAAUAAUGCAAAUAAUUAGCUCAGAAAAUUCAAAUUAAUUAAAAUUAGAAUUUCCGGUCAAAUUAAGCAUAUUUAGGAAAAACGGAAAAAUACCGGAAAAUUAAGCACAAUUCCCUGAUUAAUUCUAGCACAAUAAACUAAGUAAAGUCAAAAAAAUAUUGACUCAUCAAAAUAGACCACACUUAGUCUUUUGCACUCCUGGGCAAAAUCAAGACGCAAAUCAGGGAACAGUUCAACGAACAUCAGGGAAUUGACACAGACUCAGUAGACAGAAAACAAAGACUGACAAGGAAAGAAACAUGAUUACACAGUCCUCAAGAAAUCUGGACAAAGAAAGUAAGUAGACAACAUCCCACAUAGAAUCAAGGAAAGUAGAUACUCAUGAAGUCAUCCAAGCAAUUCAAGACAUGGAAAAAUAAUCAAUCAGUUCAAGAGGUGAAUCAAAAGCAACAGAGCCUCACAGAUGCACAUAAUCAGUGUUUCUCUCAAGUGUUUAAGGUAAAUCAAUGUCAACUCAAUGUACUCAAGAAAGCAAGCAACAAACAGACUUGGCAAGCCUCUAAUAUUAGCACUCAAAACAUAUGCAUGUUCAAAUCAAAAGGUCUUUUAUGGAUGUAAUGGGGCCAAGGACAAGGGAGGAUAAAUGUGGAUAAGAAGCUACAAACCAAAAGGAAUAGAGGAGCAAUGGGGAACAAGUUUAAACACAGUCAAAUCACACCUAAAACCCUCUAAUUCAAUCCUCUUCUUGACUCCAUUAUUCACACAAUUUUUUUUAUUUUACUCAUUUUUCUGUAUUUUUUUUUCUUUUUUUUUUCAUCUUGUCUCUUUUCUUUUCUCUCUUUUCAGAACACAACUCUAAGAGACAAGAUACACAACAUAUUUACAAAACAAAACAAGAAGAGGAACCAACUAGCCAAUUCAUCUGAAUCUCCCAAGAGACCACACUUAUUCCCAAAACAAUUCCAAAGCUCCAAAAUUCCCUAAGGUUAAGGUAAUCAUGGUUUUU